AUCACCUCCUACAGAUUCCAAUGGCACCGACUCUGUAAACUUAUAGGGAUUAGAUUGCUGUCACCGCUUCUUCUUUCGCUUAUUCCUCCUCCACCGCUUUUCUCCCUUAUUUGCCUUCUCCUUUUGCUUAUCUGCUUACCUCACCACGCCCAAUCAAGUCCUUACCUCAAUCCUCUGAUUCCCCCUCAUCCUCACCGAUAUCAGAGAUUUCUUCCUCCGGUAACUCAAUCUCCCCGGGUAUGCUCCCACCUCCCCGUCAUCUCUCUCACCUGCGUCAUGGUGGACUGGGCAACAGUUUUGAAGAAACCAUUUGCAGCUUGAAGAUAAGCGAGAACAUCGAUACCCCACCCACGCUGACUUCGUAAACUCAAAAGCCAGGAGAAUUUCAAACCUCAACAGCUUCAAAUUCCCCGUUGUCUAGGCCCCGGUUUUGUUGUGGUUUCCCUAUUUUCUCUUCGUCUCUUUGGAGAACCCUAAACUUCUUCAUCUUCCUCUGCAUCUGCUAUCGCCAACAACAAAUUGAGGAUGCUACCGGACCAAAGGCUUUGAUUUACAGAUUAGUCGCCUCUUCUUCUUUAUGAAAAUUAGGGCUUUCAUCCAGAAACCUUCAAUUGCAGUCGAUGACUCAGUUCCAAAAAUCUGGAAUGUAGCAUCCCAACAACCUUGAACGAAGAUGAACCAUUGAGCUUUAACAGAUAAUAGUGCGUGCAAAAAAACAUGGCAUUGGUGCCUUUGAUUUUGAUAAAAUGAUGUACAUGAUGACUGGAAAAAUGGGUGACGAGGACAAUCACUCAAAUAAUAAGAUGCCAAAAAUAGACUUUGACGAUGAUGUGAAGUUGCAACAUCUUCACUACCUAAUCAAGUCUCUCCUUUUGUUUUUAAAACAAAUUCGUGAAGUUCGAGGAGAAAUAUACGUCGGCAAUUGUUUAUGGUGUUAAAGAGAAGGUUGGAAACUUUAGGGUUAUGCCACCUUGGUUGUUCCAAGGUCAUGGGGACCAUCCGAAGAUGGGAAAACCGAAAGGUCGUAUCUGCCUAUGUGAUAUCACAACAAAUAUUGGCAAUGAUGCCCUUAUCCCAGAAUGUCCAAUUCCUAGUGAAAGGUUUGACUUUGUUCUUCUUUGUGUUUGCUUGGUUGGACAUGGAGUGGAAUGGAUAGAGUGAUGGAAUAAACAAGGGAGUGGAAUAAGUCAUGACAUUCUUUGAUGUUCGAUAGUUGGAAAGAAAUUAGACAUGAUAAUAUUGUCAGUUGGCUAGCAUAUUGGAAUGAUGUUAUAAAUGGAAAUGACUUCAAGUAUUAAACAUUUUUCAGAUUUGGUCCUUAUUUCAGGAUUUUAUAUUAAUUUUGUUCCAUUGAACUUAAAUACUCAAAACAGAAAGUACAUUGGAUAAAAUGGAUACGAAACCUUGAAAUAGGGACAAAAAAUGAAAAAGGUUUCAAUUUUCGACAAAACAUGUUAAAAAUUAGAAAGCACAAGGACUAUUUUUGUAACUUACUCAGUCACUUUGAUAU